rnacentral:misc_RNA from 1 species
AACCUUAUGGACCUGCGGGCGUAUACCUGCGGAAGGAUCAUUACCGAGUUAGGGUCUUUUGGCCCGACCUCCAACCCUUUGUUUAUUAUACCAUGUUGCUUUGGUGGGCCUGCCUUUCAGGGCUGCCGGGGGCAUCGCCGCCCCUGUCUCGUGCCUGCCAGGAGCCUUCUUAAAUUCAGUGUUCAACGGUGCUGUCUGAGUCCCAGUCGCAAAAUAUCAAAAACUUUCAGCAAUGGAUCU